GUGAGUCAUCGAAUCUUUGAACGCACCUUGCACUCUUUGGUAUUCCGAAGAGUAUGUCUGUUUGAGUGUCAUGAAACUCUCAACCCCCUUAUUUUGUAAUGAUAUAAGUGUGGGCUUGGUUCAUGGUUGUUGAAGGCUUAACAGUCUUCUCAACUGAAAUACACGAGCUACCUAUUUUAUAAUAGACGGUUUGACUCGGCGUAAUAACUAUUUCGCUGAGGACGUUUUCUUUAAAGUUAGUGGUGCUUCUAAUGCGUUAUAAUACAUCAUAAGCUUUAGACCUCAAAUCAGUCAGGACUACCCGCUGAACUUAA
rnacentral:rRNA from 1 species